rnacentral:rRNA from 1 species
CAGUAGCCGCGGUAAUACAGAGGGUGCAAGCGUUAAUCGGAAUUACUGGGCGUAAAGCGCGCGUAGGUGGUUUGUUAAGUUGAAUGUGAAAUCCCCGGGCUCAACCUGGGAACUGCAUCCAAAACUGGCAAGCUAGAGUAGGGCAGAGGGUGGUGGAAUUUCCUGUGUAGCGGUGAAAUGCGUAGAUAUAGGAAGGAAUACCAGUGGCGAAGGCGACCACCUGGGCUCAUACUGACACUGAGGUGCGAAAGCGUGGGGAGCAAACAGGAUUAGAUACCCGGGUAGUCCCUGUCUCUUAUAC